UACAGAGGGUGCGAGCGUUGUUCGGAAUUAUUGGGCGUAAAGCGUGCGUAGACGGUCAUGUAAGUCGGGUGUGAAAGCCCCGGGCUCAACCUGGGAAUUGCAUUCGAGACUGCAUGGCUAGGGUGCGGAAGAGGGAAGCGGAAUUUCCGGUGUAGCGGUGAAAUGCGUAGAUAUCGGAAGGAACACCAGUGGCGAAAGCGGCUUCCUGGUCCAGCACCGACGUUCAGGCACGAAAGCGUGGGGAGCAAACAGG
rnacentral:rRNA from 1 species